rnacentral:rRNA from 1 species
AAUUUUGGACAAUGGGGGAAACCCUGAUCCAGCCAUCCCGCGUGCAUGAUGAAGGCCUUCGGGUUGUAAAGUACUUUUGGCAGAGAAGAAAAGGUACCUCCUAAUACGAGGUACUGCUGACGGUAUCUGCAGAAUAAGCCCCGGCUAACUACGUGCCAGCAGCCGCGGUAAUACAGAGGGGGCACACGUUAAUCUGAUUUACUGGGCGUAAAGCGUGUGUAGGCGGGUCGGAAAGAAAGAUGUGAAAUCCCAGGGCUAAACCUUGGAACUGCAUUUUUAACUGACGAGCUAGAGUAUGUCAGAGGGGGGUAGAAUUCCACGUGUAGCAGUGAAAUGCGUAGAUAUGUGGAGGAAUACCGAUGGCGAAGGCAGCCCCCUGGGAUAAUACUGACGCUCAGACACGAAAGCGUGGGGAGCAAACAG